GACGAACGCUGGCGGCGUGCUUAACACAUGCAAGUCGAACGAUGAAAGCGGGAGCUUGCUCCUGCUGGAUUAGUGGCGAACGGGUGAGUAACACGUGAGCAAUCUGCCCCGAACUCUGGGAUAAGCGUUGGAAACGACGUCUAAUACCGGAUACGACGCGCGAAGGCAUCUUCUGCGCGUGGAAAGAAUUUCGGUUCGGGAUGAGCUCGCGGCCUAUCAGCUAGUUGGUGAGGUAAUGGCUCACCAAGGCGACGACGGGUAGCCGGCCUGAGAGGGUGACCGGCCACACUGGGACUGAGACACGGCCCAGACUCCUACGGGAGGCAGCAGUGGGGAAUAUUGCACAAUGGGCGCAAGCCUGAUGCAGCAACGCCGCGUGAGGGACGACGGCCUCGGUUGUAAACCUCUUUAGUAGGAAGAAGCGAAAGUGACGGUACCUGC
rnacentral:rRNA from 1 species